GACAGAGGUGCCGAGCGUUUAGGCGGAAUCACUGGGCUUAAAGCGUGUGUAGGCGGGCCGUUAAGUACCUUGUGAAAUCCCCCCAGCUCAACUGGGGAACUGCUGGGUAGACUGGCGGUCUUGAGAGACCUAGGGGCCAUCGGAACAAGUGGUGGAGCGGUGAAAUGCGUAGAUAUCACUUGGAACGCCGACGGCGAAAGCAGAUGGCUGGGGGUCUUCUGACGCUGAGACACGAAAGCCAGGGGAGCGAACGGG
rnacentral:rRNA from 1 species